ensembl:snRNA U6 U6 spliceosomal RNA
GUGCUUUCAGCAGCACACAUACUAAAACUGGAAUGACACAGAGAAGAUCAGCAUUGCCCCUGCACAAGGAUGACAUGCAAAUUCAUGAAGCAUUUCAUAUUUAA